rnacentral:rRNA from 1 species
CCUACGGGAGGCAGCAGUGGGGAAUAUUGCACAAUGGGCGCAACUCUGACGCAGCGACGCCGCGUGAGUGAAGAAGUAUUUCGGUAUGUAAAGCUCUAUCAGCAGGGAAGAGGCAAGACGGUACCUGACUAAGAAGCCCCGGCUUACUACGUGCCAGCAGCCGCGGGAAAACGUAGGGGGCAAGCGUUAUUCGGAUUUACUGGGUGGAAAGGGAGCGUAGGCGGGAUGGCAAGUCAGAAGUGAAAGCCCAGGGCUUAACCCGGGGACUGCAUUGGAAACUGUUAGACUAGAGUGCUGGAGAGGUAAGUGGAAUUCCUAGUGUAGCGGUGAAAUGCGUAGAUAUUAGGAGGAACACCAGUGGCGAAGGCGGCUUACUGGACGGUAACUGACGGUGAGGCUCGAAAGCGUGGGGAGCAAACAGGAUUAGAUACCCGAGUAGUC